UAGGCUCUCCAUCACCAAAAUGGCUUUUGGUUUGCCUGCACUUAUGGAGAUUAAUUAUAAUUUUGUCUACAAGGCAAACAAUUGUAAGUAAAGGUAAAUAUUGUUAAUUUUUCUUAAAAUUGAUGAGGGAUAUUAAAGGAAAAAUGAAAUAAAAAAUGUGAGAUGGCAUGAUAUUAAAAAGUUUUUUUAAACUAUGUGAAAAAAUGUAAGGUGAAAUCUUUUUAGGACCAAGGGUAUAAUAUAUUAUGUAUAGGUAGGUAAAAGAAAAUGAACAUAGUAAUCAAAUAUGAAGAAAGCACAUAAAUCUAACAUAUUUUAUUAUAAUUAUUAACUUUGGUUGUU
rnacentral:misc_RNA from 1 species